AGAGAUAAAAAGCAAUGGUAAAGAUUUAAGAUGACAGAAGAAGAGAACAGCCUAAUUUAUUCUUCCUGGCUUGCGGCACAGAAUCAUGAAGGCUCUCGGUCAUAACUUCAGGGCUACACUAAAUUCCUGCCAGCCAGGAUCAGUUACAAAGGCCUCUGGAUCUUGGGAUAAUAGAAAUGAAGGUAUGGAAGGCUGAGACAGUUGACCUGCAUCAUCUUAGGAGAUUUUAUUAUCAUCUGAAUCUCAGAAUCAGGAAAUAGGUGUGAAUCUGGACCCAAACAGAAAACAAGGUGAUGCAUCUGUCUUCAAAUUUGUCUGAGAACUACUUUGUUUAAGAAAUGCAACACGGUGUAAUCAACUGCCUUGUUGAUAGUAUCUUCUCAGAGGGCCAUCAUAUUAUGUAAGGAAAACAAGAAAAAUGGCUUUAAAGCCGUAUGUUAUUUCCAACA